rnacentral:rRNA from 1 species
CCUACGAGAUGCUGCAGUGGGGAAUAUUGGGCAAUGGAGGCAACUCUGACCCAGCAACGCCGCGUGAAUGAUGAAGGUCUUCGGAUUGUAACGUUCUUUUCUAAGGGAAGAAGAAAGUGACGGUACCUUAGGAAUAAGCCUCGGCUAACUACGUGCCAGCAGCCGCGGUCAUACGUAGGAGGCACGCGUUAUCCGGAAGGACUGGGCGUAAAGGGUGCGUAGGUGGUUCAGCAAGUUAGUAGCGUAACUCCCGGGCUCAACCUCGGCCCUACUACUAAAACUGUUGGACUGGAGUGCAGGAGGGGCAACUGGAAUUCCUAGUGUAGCGGUGGAAUGCGUAGAUAUGAGGAGGAACACCAGUGGCGAAGGCGAGUUGCUGGACUGUAACUGACACGGAGGCACGAAGGCGUGGGGAGCAAACAGGAUUAGAUACCCGUGUAGUC